rnacentral:piRNA from 1 species
UAAAAGAUCUGGGGGAAUCCUUGCCUUGC